CCACGUAGGGCGCAAGCGUUGUCCGGAUUUAUUGGGCGUAAAGGGCUCGUAGGCGGUUUCGUAAGUCGGGUGUGAAAACUCAGGGCUCAACCCUGAGACGCCACUCGAUACUGCGAUGACUUGAGUCCGGUAGGGGAGCAGGGAAUUCCUGGUGUAGCGGUGAGAUGCGCAGAUAUCAGGAGGAACACCAUUAGCGAAGGCGCUGCUCUGGGCCGGUACUGACGCUGAGGAGCGAAAGCAUGGGGAGCAAACCGGAUUAGAAACCCUAGUAGUCC
rnacentral:rRNA from 1 species